rnacentral:sRNA from 1 species
ACUCAACGUUAAUUAAGUUUAAAAAGGGUGAGUUUAGGUCGUAAAAGCAUGCCUUGCUUGUACAAGGAUCCUUGAUCGGUCUGUUAGCCCUAAACCUGUUUAUAGGAGUUU